UACAGAGGUCCCAAGCGUUGUUCGGAUUCACUGGGCGUAAAGGGUGCGUAGGCGGCGUGGUAAGUUUGAUGUGAAAGCUCAGGGCUUAACCCUGAAAUGGCAUUGAAUACUACUGUGCUGGAGGUUUGGAGGGGGGACUGGAAUUCUUGGUGUAGCAGUGAAAUGCGUAGAUAUCAAGAGGAACACCAGUGGCGAAGGCGAGUCCCUGGACAACACCUGACACUGAGGCACGAAAGCUAGGGGAGCAAACAGG
rnacentral:rRNA from 1 species